rnacentral:rRNA from 1 species
CCCUUUGUGAACUUAUACCUAUCUGUUGCCUCGGCGUAGGCCGGCCUCUUCACUGAGGCCCCCUGGAAACAGGGAGCAGCCCGCCGGCGGCCAACUAAACUCUUGUUUCUAUAGUGAAUCUCUGAGUAAAAACAUAAAUGAAUCAAAACUUUCAACAACGGAUCUCUUGGUUCUGGCAUCGAUGAAGAACGCAGCGAAAUGCGAUAAGUAAUGUGAAUUGCAGAAUUCAGUGAAUCAUCGAAUCUUUGAACGCACAUUGCGCCCUCUGGUAUUCCGGAGGGCAUGCCUGUUCGAGCGUCAUUUCAACCCUCAAGCCUGGCUUGGUGAUGGGGCACUGCCUUCUAGCGAGGGCAGGCCCUGAAAUCUAGUGGCGAGCUCGCUAGGACCCCGAGCGUAGUAGUUAUAUCUCGUUCUGGAAGGCCCUGGCGGUGCCCUGCCGUUAAACCCCCAACUUCUGAAAAUUUGACCUCGGAUCAGGUAGGAAUACCCGC